rnacentral:ncRNA from 1 species
ACCAUUAAUAGGGAGAUUACUAGGAUACAUACGUGCUCCAAUGAUAAACACAAUGAGAGGCAAUAAUUAUAAAAAAAUGGAGCAAAUCUUUAAAAAUUAUCUUAGUUCGGAUUAUGGUCUGCAACUCGCCCACAUAAAGUUGGAAUCGCUAGUAAUCUCAAAACAGCAUGUUGCGGUGAAUAUGUU